rnacentral:rRNA from 139 species
GGAAGGAUCAUUGUCG